rnacentral:rRNA from 1 species
UACGUAGGGUGCAAGCGUUAAUCGGAAUUACUGGGCGUAAAGCGUGCGCAGGCGGUUAUGUAAGACAGAUGUGAAAUGCCCGGGCUUAACCUGGGAACUGCAUUUGUGACUGCAUGGCUAGAGUUUGGCAGAGGGGGGGUAGAAUUCCACGUGUAGCAGUGAAAUGCGUAGAUAUGUGGAGGAACACCGAUGGCGAAGGCAGCCCCCCUGGGUCAAGACUGACGCUCAUGCACGAAAGCGUGGGGAGCAAACAGG